GAUGAACGCUGGCGGCGUGCCUAACACAUGCAAGUCGAGCGAACGGACGAGAAGUUUGCUUCUCUGACGUUUGCGGCGGACGGGUGUGUAACACGUGGAUCAUCCCCCUAUAAGACUGGGAUCACUUCGGGACACCGGCGCUUAUCCCGUAUACUCUCGUUACCCGCAUGGUUCAAGAGAGAAAGACCGUCUUGCUGUCACUUAUCGUUGCAUCCGCGCUGCAUGAGCUAGUUGGUAAGGUAACGGCUUACCACGGCAACGAUGCAUAGCGGACCUGAGAGGGUGAACGGCCACACGGGAACUGAGACACGGUCCAGACUCCGAAGGGAGGCAGCAGUAGGGAAUCUUCCGCAAGGGGCGAAAGGCUGACGGAGCAACGCCGCGUGAGUGAUGAAGGUCUGCGGAUCGUAAGACUCUGUUAGUAGGGAGGAACAUAUGUGUAAGUAACUGUGCACAUCUUGACGGUACCUAAUCAGGAAGCGACGGCUAACUACGUG
rnacentral:rRNA from 1 species